GUCACCAUCCUUAAGAGCUUACUGGUGGGAAAUCACAGGAGUGCAGAUAAUUUCCUCUUCUGAUGGGUGAAAUCAUUCAAUCCUCCAUUUGAAAAAAGCAGCCAUGCCCGCUAUGCUACUCCAAACCCAGUUCAGCCCAUGAGUGCCCUGCUUCCUUCUGGAUCUUGCUGAUACAAGAGCUAUGUCUCUUUAAAUCUACUGUGGAAGAUAUUCCUUCUGGCCCAUAGGAUGCCAAAAUGACUUGAUGAUUUAUUUAUGUAGAGCUUGGCAGACUGGAGUCCAGAUUGUGGCUGAAGCUGAAUUUUAUGAGCCUUCCCCUAAUCAAUUGAUUAUAUUUUGAACAGUCUCUAGAAUAUAACCAAGGCAAUAGAAGUAAGGGAAAAGCAAUGGAGAAACCCACUUGCAGAGGUCACUUGAGUUAAUGAUACAGUUAUUAGAAGAUAACACAGGUUCUGAUAUCUGGUCCAUCAAGACCUUCAUCGCUGAAGAGUAUGCUGUCCUUAAGGCCAAAAUCAGAAUGGUAAGUAAUGGUUGGGGUUGAAUUCAGGGCUUUUCAGUUCCACUCUAGAACAUGGAAUUAUUCACCUUCAGAGUCUAGCACUCUGGGAUUGAUGGACGGAUUUUCUUUUCUUGUUUA
rnacentral:lncRNA from 1 species